rnacentral:lncRNA from 1 species
UUUUUUUUUCGGUUUUCGGUCAUUGGACGGUUAAAAGAGGAGCUACAUGUUGUGAUGUACAUAGGACUUAUAAACAAUUCAUGAAUGCAAAACUAUUUAGAAAUCUUGACUUCUGAAUAGAGUAAAGCAUGAUUAAUUGAAUAUGUAAGCAACACAUUUUUGUGAUACAGAAUUUACUCAAAAUUGUCCAAAAUCUGCUCUUCGGGAACGUCUCUAUAACUUUGUCAAUAUUCACACUAAAAUCCCGAUGAAUAUAAUGCAGUAAUGCUAGCGAUAAUAACCUAGCUGUAGUUGUUCAUGGUUAAUCAUACAUAUGUUUUCAACAGAUGUAGUACACUGAACGAUCUCUUCACGGUAGCACUCGUGUUCGCCAUCGAGCGACCUCCCGAUUGAAUUUGACAAAUUAUAUGCCAGGCCAGUUUCGUAUGUCUCAAACAAUGCAGAGAUUUGUUCGUUUGAUGUAUUACCGACAACACGAGGAAGCAGAUAAUGCGCAUAGAAGCGAUUUCCUGAUAAUAUCAGACGCGACUCCACUGAGUUCCAUUAUCAUGUGGUCUAUGAACGCAAAAUAUAAUGAGACUUUCCAAUACUGUUUUAGCGUGUUUGCUGGGGGGAUUGGCUCUGGUAGUCUGUCGAACACAUCGCCUCGGCAUACUUUCAACGAUAUCGAAGGGUACUGAUAAAUCUAAUGUCAAUUGGUACAUCGCAGUCCAAACAGUUAAACCGUACUCUGUAAAAUGUGCCCCGAAACUACUAGAGUAUAACAAAUUCAAAUCUUGUAAUAGAUGCAAGUUAAUAUGUUACUGUUAGUCUUUUCAUCUCCAAUAAAACUUUAAUUUUGAAACCAAAUGCCGCUAUUUAAUGACAUUACA